rnacentral:rRNA from 1 species
GAUCCUGGCUCAGGAUGAACGCUAGCUACAGGCUUAACACAUGCAAGUCGAGGGGAAACGACAUCGAAAGCUUGCUUUUGAUGGGCGCCGACCGGCGCACGGGUGAGUAACGCGUAUCCAACCUGCCCAUCACUUGGGGAAUAACCUUGCGAAAGUAAGACUAAUGCCCAAUGAUAUCCCACAAAGGCAUCCGAAUGGGAUUAAAGAUUUAUCGGUGAUGGAUGGGGAUGCGUCUGAUUAG